GGUUAUAUAAAUCACCAAUAUGCAUAUAUAAAUCCGGCCAUAACCAAGUUCAGGAUCAUUACCAUAAGAAAUACAGCCAUGGCUAAAAUUAUCUUUCUAACUUUGGUAAUUGCGAUGGUCGCUGUUCCAUGCAAUUCUCAGUUGGGCGGCUAUUGCCUUCUUCCAUGCGACUGGCAACCCCCUCCAGUCCUUUCGGCAUGUAACCCUUCUCCAACGGCAAUUCAGGCGAAAUGCUCAUGCAAAAUGUACUCUGGUAGCGAAGCAAUUUGCACGUCGGGCACUGUUUGCGAUUUCUUCCGGGGCUGUCCUGCAUGGGCUCCUCCGUGCCCAAUUGGCACCUUAGCGGGGCAGAUGUGUAUUUGUGGAGCUCCAUCCAUUAAUCAGGCCACGCUACAUUGCGGAACGGGACAAACGUGCACGACGACGGGUGGGCUAAACCAGUGCAAGUAAGAUGCAUUCGACAAUGAUUUUAGAAAAAUGUUGUACAGUGGAACGAUUCUUACUGACUAAUAAAUCAAAUGCACUGAA